CCUACGGGUGGCUGCAGUGAGGAAUAUUGGUCAAUGGACGAGAGUCUGAACCAGCCAUGUCGCGUGAAGGAUGACGGCUCUAUGGGUUGUAAACUUCUUUUGUACAGGAAUAAAACCAGGUACGCGUGCCUUUUUGCAUGUACCUUAUGAAUAAGGAUCGGCUAACUCCGUGCCAGCAGCCGCGGUAAUACGGAGGAUCCGAGCGUUAUCCGGAUUUAUUGGGUUUAAAGGGUGCGUAGGCGGGUGGAUAAGUCAGUUGUGAAAGUGUGAGGCUCAACCGUGAAAUUGCAAUUGAUACUGGGCGGCUAGAGUGCAGGUGAGGUAGGCGGAAUGUGUGGUGUAGCGGUGAAAUGCUUAGAUAUCACGAAGAACCCCGAUUGCGAAGGCAGCUUACUAAACUGUGACUGACGUUGAGGCACGAAAGCGUGGGUAUCAAACAGGAUUAGAUACCCCAGUAGUC
rnacentral:rRNA from 1 species